CGGAAGUAGUUCAGUGGUAGAACAUCACCUUGCCAUGGUGGAGGUCGCGGGUUCGAAUCCCGUCUUCCG
rnacentral:tRNA from 1 species